rnacentral:rRNA from 1 species
AGUGAACGCUGGCGGUAGGCCUAACACAUGCAAGUCGAACGGCAGCACAGUAAGAGCUUGCUCUUACGGGUGGCGAGUGGCGGACGGGUGAGGAAUACAUCGGAAUCUACUUUUUCGUGGGGGAUAACGUAGGGAAACUUACGCUAAUACCGCAUACGACCUACGGGUGAAAGCAGGGGAUCUUCGGACCUUGCGCGAUUGAAUGAGCCGAUGUCGGAUUAGCUAGUUGGCGGGGUAAAGGCCCACCAAGGCGACGAUCCGUAGCUGGUCUGAGAGGAUGAUCAGCCACACGGGAACUGAGACACGGCCCAGACUCCUACGGGAGGCAGCAGUGGGGAAUAUUGGACAAUGGGCGCAAGCCUGAUCCAGCCAUACCGCGUGGGUGAAGAAGGCCUUCGGGUUGUAAAGCCCUUUUGUUGGGAAAGAAAAGCAGCAGGUUAAUACCCCGCUGUUCUGACGGUACCCAAAGAAUAAGCACCGGCUAACUUC